GACAGAGGGUGCAAACGUUGUUCGGAAUUACUGGGCGUAAAGCGUGUGUAGGCGGCUUUGCAAGUCGGAUGUGAAAGCCCCGGGCUCAACCCGGGAAGUGCACUCGAUACUGCAGAGCUUGAGUGUCGGAGAGGUUGGUGGAAUUCUCGGUGUAGAGGUGAAAUUCGUAGAUAUCGAGAGGAACACCGGAGGCGAAGGCGGCCAACUGGACCAACACUGACGCUGAGACACGAAAGCGUGGGGAGCAAACAGG
rnacentral:rRNA from 1 species